rnacentral:tRNA from 1 species
GAGGGUGUAGCUCAAGGGUAGUGCACAUGCUUUGCAUGUAUGAGGCCCCAAGUUCAAUCCCUAGCAACUCCA